rnacentral:rRNA from 1 species
UACAGAGGGGGCAAGCGUUAUUCGGAAUUAUUGGGCGUAAAGGGCGCGUAGGCGGCUUUGCAAGUGGCGGGUGAAAUCCCUCGGCUUAACCGAGGAACUGCCUGCCAGACUGUGAGGCUUGAGACCGGGAGAGGUGAGUGGAAUUUCCCAGUGUAGCGGUGAAAUGCGUAGAUAUUUGGGAGGAAACACCAGUGGCGAAGGCGGCUCACUGGACCCGGAACUGACGCUGAGGGCGCGAAAGCGUGGGAGCAAACAGG